rnacentral:rRNA from 1 species
ACGCCAGUCUGCAUGGAGCCGACCUUGAAAUACCACCCUUUAAUGUUUGAUGUUCUAACGUGGACCCGUGAUCCGGGUUGCGGACAGUGUCUGGUGGGUAGUUUGACUGGGGCGGUCUCCUCCUAAAGAGUAACGGAGGAGCACGAAGGUUGGCUAAUCCUGGUCGGACAUCAGGAGGUUAGUGCAAUGGCAUAAGCCAGCUUGACUGCGAGCGUGACGGCGCGAGCAGGUGCGAAAGCAGGUCAUAGUGAUCCGGUGGUUCUGAAUGGAAGGGCCAUCGCUCAACGGAUAAAAGGUACUCCGGGGAUAACAGGCUGAUACCGCCCAAGAGUUCAUAUCGACGGCGGUGUUUGGCACCUCGAUGUCGGCUCAUCACAUCCUGGGGCUGAAGUAGGUCCCAAGGGUAUGGCUGUUCGCCAUUUAAAGUGGUACGCGAGCUGGGUUUAGAACGUCGUGAGACAGUUCGGUCCCUAUCUGCCGUGGGCGCUGGAGAACUGAGGGGGGCUGCUCCUAGUACGAGAGGACCGGAGUGGACGCAUCACUGGUGUUCGGGUUGUCAUGCCAAUGGCACUGCCCGGUAGCUAAAUGCGGAAGAGAUAAGUGCUGAAAGCAUCUAAGCACGAAACUUGCCCCGAGAUGAGUUCUCCCUGACUCCUUGAGAGUCCUGAAGGAACGUUGAAGACGACGACGUU